rnacentral:rRNA from 1 species
GAUGAACGCUGGCGGCGUGCCUAAUACAUGCAAGUCGAGCGAACAGACGAGGAGCUUGCUCCUCUGACGUUAGCGGCGGACGGGUGAGUAACACGUGGAUAACCUACCUAUAAGACUGGGAUAACUUCGGGAAACCGGAGCUAAUACCGGAUAACAUGUUGAACCGCAUGGUUCAACAGUGAAAGACGGUCUUGCUGUCACUUAUAGAUGGAUCCGCGCCGCAUUAGCUAGUUGGUAAGGUAACGGCUUACCAAGGCAACGAUGCGUAGCCGACCUGAGAGGGUGAUCGGCCACACUGGAACUGAGACACGGACCAGACUCCUACGGGAGGCAGCAGAAGGGAAUCUUCCGCAAUGGGCGAAAGCCUGACGGAGCAACGCCGCGUGAGUGAUGAAGGUCUUCGGAUCGUAAAACUCUGUUAUUAGGGAAGAACAAAUGUGUAAGUAACUAUGCACGUCUUGACGGUACCUAAUCAGAAAGCCACGGCUAACUACGUG